rnacentral:rRNA from 1 species
UACGUAGGGUGCGAGCGUUGUCCGGAAUUAUUGGGGCGUAAAAGAGCUUGUAGGCGGUUUGUCGCGUCUGCUGUGAAAAUCCGGGGCUCAACCCCGGACUUGCAGUGGGUACGGGCAGACUAGAGUGUGGUAGGGGAGACUGGAAUUCCUGGUGUAGCGGUGAAAUGCGUAGAUAUCGGGAGGAACACCAGUGGCGAAGGCGACUAUCUGGGCUGCAACUGACGCUGAGGCGCGAAGGCUAGGGUAGCAAACAGG